CAGAAAAGCCACUUCAAGGAACAAGCCUCGUCCCUGAUGGAGAGGAUCGGGUUCAAGAUGGCGUUGCAGGGAGAGAAACAGACGAGGCACAUCCAGAGACGAGUCUGACCCAUGGUGGAGAAUAUGAAGCUCAAGAUUCGCGUGGAACACGGCUUUUGGUGGGAUUAUUCUUCAGCAUGGCAGAAAACCUCUUCAUGGCUGACUCGUUGAGUAGGUUUCCUGUGAGGAAGUAACGCAUGAACUGCCACAUGACUCUACAACCAUCCCAAUGAAGUGUGUCGUCUCCAGUUAUAUCUUUCUCUAAAUGUGACUGAUAAAUAGCUACCAAAACACGAUUUCCUUGAAUAACAAACAAAUCAAUUCAGUGAAUCAUGUUGAAUGUUGUGCUUGUACACAUUUUAUCGUUUUUCUUUUGUUUUUUAAAAAAGAUAUUUAAUCCCCGUCAUGUUGUGGAAUUGUUUUCAGUCAGGUCAAUAAUGCAAGAAUGUUCCAGAAGAGCAGAUGAAGGAUGGUAUGUUCUUGUACAUCGAGAUAUGCCAGAUAUGUCAGGUUUGAACCAGACAAGUCAGCGGUUGUGUCACCCAGGUAGGCAAAAUAUGCCGACAUCAGUCGUGUCCGAACCACACCACUGAGUGUUUGUAUGAUUCAGUCAGGUCUGAACCAGACAACUGAGUAGUUGUAUGGUCCAGGCAGGCGAGAUAUGUUGACAUCAGUCAGGUCUGAACCAGACAACUGAGUAGUUGUAUGAUCCGGGCAGGCGAGAUAUGUUGACAUCAGUCAGGUCUGAACCAGACAGCUGAGUAUUUGUAUGAUCCGGGCAGGCGAGAUAUGUUGACAUCAGUCAGGUCUGAACCAAACACCUGAGUAGUUGUAUGACCCAGACAGGCGAUACAUUUUGAGGUUGUAUUCAACCUAGAAUAACUCGAAGUGCUUGCGUAGGUCCCUCAACACCACAAGGGUGUUUGUACUAUCUUUCUGGUAUUCAUUUCAUGAUAUUGUUUGUGUCUAUGUAAAUACUCACCACAUAUAUACAAUGUAUACCUGUUUUUGUAUAGAAAUGAAUAAAGGAAUUUAUAAAUCA